CGGCAAGUCAUGACAACAGACACCACUACUCUCUGUAACAAACUCCACGUGGCCCCGAACGGCCCACUACCAGGCAAUUACGGAUGUCACUGUCAAUCAGUUACGCUCUCCCAUCUAUAAAAGAGAUCCCUCAGAUAUAUUCUCCUCUAAGCUGUAAGCAUUAUCUCCAAACUCUGCUAAAAUCCCAUUCGAGUACUCUAUUUCUGUUGAAGCAGAGUACUGACUUGAG
rnacentral:lncRNA from 1 species